CAGUCGCCGCGGUAAUACGUAGGGCGCAAGCGUUAUCCGGAAUUAUUGGGCGUAAAGAGCUAGUAGGCGGUUUGUCGCGUCUGCCGUGAAAGUCCGGGGCUCAACCCCGGAUCUGCGGUGGGUACGGGCAGACUAGAGUGAUGUAGGGGAGACUGGAAUUCCUGGUGUAGCGGUGAAAUGCGCAGAUAUCAGGAGGAACACCGAUGGCGAAGGCAGGUCUCUGGGCAUUAACUGACGCUGAGGAGCGAAAGCAUGGGGAGCGAACAGGAUUAGAUACCCCAGUAGUCCCUGUCUCUUAUAA
rnacentral:rRNA from 1 species